rnacentral:rRNA from 1 species
UCUUCGGAGAGUUUGAUCCUGGCUCAGGACGAACGCUGGCGGCGUGCCUAAUACAUGCAAGUCGAGCGAAUCGAUGGGAGCUUGCUCCCUGAGAU